AACUCGGAGUCUGAUUGGGCAGAGGAUAAUUCUCGCUCGCUGAUUGGCCAGAGGACGGCGGAGCGGUCUUUCCCCUUCCGGCGGGCGCUGACCUUGCUGGUGGCGGAGCGGCGGGGAGCAGCCAUGGUGGCGUACUGGCGGCAGGCCGGCCUCAGCUACAUCCGCUACUCGCAGAUCUGCGCCCAGGCCGUCCGAGCGGCCAUGAAGCCGCAGUACAAGGCCGAGGCGGAGAGGGCGGCGAUGGCCACCGUGAAGACCGUGAAGCCCAAGAAGGAGUGAGAGGUGGGCGCCGGGCCGGCCGCUCGGGGCACGGCAGCGGGAACCGCCCGUGGGAGGAACUGAUCUGUGGUGAAUACUGUAACAGCAAACUGCAAGCUGUAGGGAAGCUCAAGACUGCAGUACAAUGUCAUCAUGUUAACUGUAAAACUUGCCUGUGUGUAAAUCAGCACGCUAAUAAAUGUCACUUGUGGUUAAACACA